rnacentral:lncRNA from 1 species
GUUGACUUCAGAGAGGGUGAGUUUAAGCCAUGCUGCAUGGGGCAUUGCUGCUGUUAUAUGUGGCUUCAUUGCUUAUUCUCUGCUAUGGGGGACAGUGAUCAGCUGCUUCCUGCUGGCUGGGUGUAGUAUGGAGACGGUGUCUGUAAAAUCCCAAUACCUCCCUUUCCACACAGCUCCAGCUGGGACUCUGUGAUUUUCUCAUUUUUUAACAGGGAGAGGCUCAUUGACUACUUCUCCCUGAAUGUUUCCCUGCACCUUUGGACUCAACCCCAGGCAGCUCCCCACCAGUGCUCAGUUAAACCAGGGAAAGAGACACUGCAGUCAGGAGCUGCAAUCCAGCAGCUCACAUGGGGCCACUAUUGUUUCAGCAGCCACGGUUCCACCUAGGCAGACCUAAAGGAAACCUGUGCAUACUAAAGAGUAAAAGGCUUGAGAACAUUUGCAAAGGAAAGACACUUCCCUCUGGUUUCAACUCAAUGGGACUUGCUGACAUAGUACAAACAGAGAAAGAAGAAAACUACACCAAGUGCUUGCAAAAGGCCUGGCAGAGUUAUUACAAACACCAAGUUCCUGUAUCUAGCAUGUAAACACAUUGCUAAGUACUUGAGACAGCCCCACGCUCAGAGGGUGGCUGUCAGAAUAACUUUAACUUUCUGAAUUUUCUAGUCUAGAGAAACACCUGCUACUGAUGAAGCAGAUGAGACAGGCAAAGGAAAGAUGUGACUUGCCAUAUAUUAUGAUCCAAGCAACUGAGACAGAAUGAAAAAGAUCAGAAAACCAGUUGACACAUCAGCUGUGAGUUGUGGCACAGAAAAUAAGACCCCAAGAAUGUGAAGUAUCUAUGACAUAAAUGGGUAGAGUGGCUUGGCCACUUUUGGAUCAUUGGCUGUACUCAAUUGAGAGAAGCAACAAUUUUUUUCUUUGUUUUAAUUUAAGAUGUAUCAUUGGUCUUACCCAUUUUUGACAACUCUUUUUAUAUGUAGGGUGUCAGAUGACUCACAUCCUUAAACUGCCUGUCUCCCUCUGCUAAUUGUGAAACGAGUCUUGGUUGCACCCAGCCAUUUGGCCAGAUGAACAC